AGCGAAGUGCCUGAAAAAGGGUGAUCUUGAUAGGAUCAAUCAUGCAGCCAAGCUGCCUCCGCUA
rnacentral:tRNA from 1 species